rnacentral:rRNA from 1 species
ACGUAGGGUGCGAGCGUUAAUCGGAAUUACUGGGCGUAAAGCGUGCGCAGGCGGUUUUGCAAGCCGGAUGUGAAAUCCCCGGGCUUAACCUGGGAAUGGCAUUUGGGACUGCAAGGCUGGAGUGCGGCAGAGGAGACUGGAAUUCCCGGUGUAGCAGUGAAAUGCGUAGAUAUCAGGAGGAACACCGGUGGCGAAGGCGGCCUUCUGGACGGCUACUGACGCUGAGACGCGAAAGCGUGGGGAGCAAACAGGA